rnacentral:lncRNA from 1 species
CAGAUGUUCUGCUGCAAGUUAAAGCAAAAAUUGCAUCCUUUGUAACUACGCUUAAUUUACAUUCUUUUUUACAGGUAUCAUCAUUGGUGCCAUUAUGAAAUAUGGUAUUAGUUUGUCACCAAAAUCUCAUUAUUCUACCAACUGCACAAUCAAUUCAACUGCAGCGCCUACCAAUCUAUGGGUGACUGUGAAUGGUACAAAAUACUCGUAUAAACUGUCAGGACCUGUUAAUGAAACUACCAAUUUAAACACCAACGAUAAUUUAGAAGAAAAGGUGAUUCGCAAUUGCCAAUUGUGAUUAUAAUUAAUGAAUUAGCAAACAUGCUUAAUAACUACAGUGAAACACGCAAUUUGAUUGGUCAAUAGCCAUGCAGGAUCAGGCUGUCCAGCACAAGGAAUUAAAAUCAAUGCCUGCGCGGGAUUUUCGCGG